rnacentral:lncRNA from 1 species
UUUGGUUUUCUUGUUAUAUUUGUUAUUUUCGUGGUGUUUUGUCUGAUGCUUGGUCCGUUUCUGUGUGUGUUACGUUUCGGUGUUAUGUUGUUGUUCUCCUCUUAUAUUUAAUGCAUUUCCCUCGGUUUUAGUUUGUUACCCCGAUUUUGUUUUUUGUCCCUGGAUUUAUGAGUUUUGAACAGCGGUAUACUACUGUUGCCUUUAUUUA